AUGAAAAAAAGAGGUAAAUUUCAGAGCUCUCCAAGUGAAGUUUCAAAUUUCGGAAAACCAACAUGCUUAUGUCCAUUCUGCAAUGCUAUAAUGUGGCAUCAAGAGAGAAGCAAGAACAACACAAACAUAUCAAGACCAACAUUCGGACUUUGUUGCAAGGAAGGCAAAGUCAAAUUGCCACCAUUGAAAAAACCUCCAGCAUACCUUCAGCAGCUACUAAUGUCUAAUGAAAAGGGAGAAUCCUCAAAUUACAGAGACAAUAUCAGGAACUAUAAUUCAAUAUUUGCAUUUACUUCGAUGGCUGGCCAGGUGGACUACGAGAUAAACAAAAGAGGGGGUGCACCGUAUGUUUUUCGCUUGAAUGGCCAAAACUAUCAUCAAAUUGGCACAUUGCUACCUAAAGAUAAUGGAGAUAAUGGUUGCAGGCCAAAGUUUGCUCAAUUGUACAUUUAUGAUACAGAAAAUGAGGUCAAAAACAGAAUGCAUGCUUCAACCUCAAAGGAAAGGAAAACACAACUAGAUGAAGGCAUGGUGUCUAGAUUAUUGGAGAUGCUUGAUGAGAACAACGAGUUAGUGAAAUCAUUCCGUAUGGCAAGGGAUAGAUACCAAGAGUCAGAUCUCGAAAAUGUUAGGUUGCGAUUAAUUGGUAAAAGGUCCAGUGAUGGAAGACAAUACAACCUACCAACUGCAUCUGAAAUAGCUGCACUCAUUGUUGGAGAACAGACAGGAGAAAAUGUUGGACGGGAUAUAAUAGUAGAAAAUAAAGACAAACAACUCCAGAGAAUUUCAGAACUACAUCCAAGCUUUAUGUCUAUGCAAUACCCAUUAUUAUUCCCAUACGGAGAAGACGGAUUCAGGCCAGAAAUAAAAUUAGAAAAAACAAAGGGUGGCGAAGGAAAGAGAAAGCAUGUUACCAUGAUGCAGUAUUAUGCAUAUCGCAUCCAGCAGCGACUGAACCAGUCAGUAAUCUUGCAAACGAGUGGCAAGUUGUUCCUUCAGUUCAUUGUAGAUGCAGCAACAUGCAUUGAGCAAUGGAGGCUGAAUUGGUACAGGAUGCAUCAAGGGACACUUAGAACAGAGCUAUAUAGCGGUUUGCAAGACGCAAUUGAUAAUGGUGAUACAAGAACUGAUCAAGUAGGUAAAAGAAUUAUACUACCUUCAUCGUAUAAUGGAAGUCCUAGGAAUAAACAGCAGUAUUACCAGGACGCAAUGGCGAUAUGUCGGUGGGCUGGAUAUCCAGAUCUGUUUAUCACUUUCACAUGCAACCCAAAGUGGCCAGAAAUACAGACCAUGUUGGACUUUAUACCAGGCCAAAAACCAGAAGAUCGUCCAGACAUUGUCAACAGAGUGUUCCUUAUAAAGCUCAAUGAACUGGUAGAAGACAUAUACAAAAAUAAGCGGUUUGGAAAAGCAAUAGCAAUUGUCUACACCAUCGAGUUCCAGAAAAGAGGUCUACCUCAUGCACAUAUACUACUAUUUCUGGAUCUAGGCGACAAGGAUCCUAGCCCCCAAAAUAUUGACCAGAUCAUAUCAGCAGAGGUACCAGACAAGGAUGCUGACCCAGAAGGUUACCUGGCAGUUGAAAAUUUCAUGAUGCACGGGCCAUGUGGACAACCGCACUACAAGUCACCAUGCAUGAUCAAUGGGAAGUGCUCAAAACAUUUCCCUAAGAUGUUCUGUGAGGAAACAAGCAUCGAUGAAGAAGGAUUCCCGAUAUACAGAAGAAGAAAUGAUGGAAGGACAAUAGAAAAAAAUGGAGUACAACUAGAUAGCAGGUAUAUUGUUCCAUACAACAGGGACCUGAUAGUCAAGUACCAGGCCCACAUAAACGGGGAAUGGUGUAAUAAAUCAAGAUCCAUAAAGUAUGCAUUCAAGUACACCCACAAAGGAGAGGAUAGAGCAACCAUAAUUUUGGGUACUGGAAACAAUUAUGAUGAGAUACAAAUGUACCUUGAUGCACGAUACCUAUCUGCAGGUGAAGCAUCUUGGCGUAUAUUUGGAUUUGAACUUCAGCAUCGGCAGCCUUCUGUACAGAGACUGCAAUUCCACCUUCAAGAUGAACAAAUGGUUGUGUUCCCGGACUCAACUGAUAUUGAGAAAAUUGUACAUAGAACUGGCAUAGAAAAAACAAUUUUCACUGAAUGGAUGACCUCUAAUCAAUUGUAUGAGGAGGCCCGUGAUCUGACAUAUGCAGAAUUCCCUACUAAGUGGACGUGGCAUGCAAAGAAGAAAAAAUGGAAACCAAGGAAAGGCAGGAAACAAUCUAUUGGGAGGAUCUACUAUGCCCAUCCAGCAAGUGGUGAGAAAUAUUACCUAAGAAUACUGCUAAACUCUGUCAAAGGUUGUAAAUCAUUUGAGGACAUCAGAAAAGUAAAUGGUAUUAUACACCCGACCUAUAGAUCAGCAUGUUACGCCCUUGGAUUACUCAAUGAUGACAAAGAAUGGGAUGAUUGUAUUAAGGAAGCAUCAAUUUGGGCUUCUGCACAACAAAUGCGCCAACUUUUCUGCACAAUACUCCUUUUUGGCGAGGUCACAGAUCCAGGAAAACUAUGGAAAUCUACAUGGGAAUUACUCUCGAAUGACGUACAACAACAUCAGAGGAGAAUCUUGAACUUUGAUGAACUUCAGCUUCAUCCUGAACAAAUACAAAACCUCACACUUAUAGAGAUAGACAUGUUGCUAAGGAGAGGUGGAAAGUCAUUAAAAGAUUAUGAAGAAAUUCCAUUACCAGAUAGCAACUCACUACAAGGUCUAGAAAAUAGGUUGGUAAGUGAAGAACUUAACUAUGACAGAGAUUCUCUCCAAAUAGAGAAAGUGGCAUUACUUAGAAAGUUGAAUCCAGAACAGAAACAAGCUUUUGAUGCAAUACUACAAUCUGUAAAUAGCAAACUAGGCAAAUUGAUAUUUGUCAAUGGAUAUGGUGGGACAGGAAAAACAUUUCUUUGGAAGGCAAUCACGACAUCACUACGAUCUGAAGGAAAAAUAGUUUUAGCAGUGGCAUCCAGUGCAAUAGCAGCGCUUCUUAUACCUGGGGGAAGAACUGCACAUUCAAGAUUUCACAUCCCACUCAACAUCGUUAAUGAGUCCACAUGUGACAUCAAGCAAGGAUCUUGUCUUGCAGACCUGCUAAAGAAAACAUCAUUAAUUAUAUGGGACGAAGCACCAAUGGCGAACAGACAUUGCUUCGAAGCAUUGGACAAGAGCUUGAGAGACAUUCUAAGGUUCACAAACGAAAAUAGUACAGAUAAACCAUUUGGAGGGAUGACAGUAGUGAUGGGAGGUGACUUCAGACAAAUCCUGACUGUAAUACCGAAAGGACGAAGAUCUCACAUUGUUAAUGCAUCCUUAAAACGUUCUUACUUAUGGAAACACUUUGAGGAAUUCAAGCUCACUCAGAACAUGCGUGUUUCUGCACUAACAGAUACUCCAGAAGAACAAAGAAAGACCACAGAUUUUGCGGGCUGGAUUCUAAAUAUUGGAGAUGGAUUAGUUGGAAAUAAAGAAGAAGAGGCAUGGGUACAUAUACCUGAAGACUUGCUUCUGCAGAAAGGAGAGAACCAAUUUGAAACGAUCAUCAACAACACCUAUCCAAACCUAUGGACGAACUACACCGACCGAACAUACUUAGAAGAGAGAGCCAUCUUAUGUCCAAGAAAUGACAUGGUUGAUGAGGUAAAUUCUUACAUCAUGAGUAGAAUAGAAGGUGAAGAGGUAACAUAUCAAAGCUCAGAUACAGUGUGCAAAGCAAUGUCAAAUUCGGAAGAUGUAGAUCAUUUGUACCCAACAGAAUUCCUGAAUAGCUUGAAGUGCCCUGGGAUAUCAGACCACAUACUACGGCUGAAAGUAGGCCUGCCAAUUAUGCUGCUACGGAAUAUCAACCAAAGCGAGGGCUUAUGCAAUGGUACGAGACUAACUAUAACACAGCUAGGCAAAUGGUUCAUAGAAGCUCAAAUAAUAACAGGGACAAACAUUGGAAACAAGGUAUAUAUUCCAAGGAUAAUUAUGUCACCAAGUGACUCGAAAUGGCCGUUUGUGUUGAAAAGGAGGCAGUACCCAAUAUCAGUUUGUUUUGCAAUGACGAUAAAUAAGAGUCAAGGGCAGUCGCUAAAACAUGUGGGCCUAUAUUUACCGAAGCAGGUGUUCACGCAUGGCCAACUCUAUGUAGCGGUAUCAAGAGUCACAAGUAGAGAUGGACUUAAAGUUCUAAUUUCAGAUGAAGAAUCCAAGGAAAAUAAUUCGGCAAAAAAUAUUGUGUACAAGGAGAUCCUUUAG
rnacentral:rRNA from 1 species